AUUGAACGCUGGCGGCAUGCCUUACACAUGCAAGUCGAACGGUAACGCGGGGCAACCUGGCGACGAGUUGGCGAACGGGUGAGUAAAGCAUCGGAACGUGCCCAGUAGUGGGGGAUAGCCCGGCGAAAGCCGGAUUAAUACCGCAUACGACCUACGGGUGAAAGGGGGGAGUCGCAAGACUUCUCGCUAUUGGAGCGGCC
rnacentral:rRNA from 1 species